AAACUCCAAACUCCCUAUCUUCGUAGACGUCGGGCAGUCCGGAUUGCGGGGUAAGCUUGUAAUCCGUAAGGGAGACAACCCAGCCCAUGGUUAAUGCCCCCCAAUGUAGGCUAAGUGUCAACACUGAAUGAAGUCCUAGGUCAAAGACAACUGGAAGGUGAGCUCAGAAGCAGCUAUCCUUUAAAAAGUGCGUAACAGCUUACCAGUCAAGAUUUAGGGCGCAGAAAAUGGACGGGGCUCAAGCCUACUGCAGAUACCAUGGCGCACGCUUUAUGCGUGAUCGAGUAGAGAGGCGUCCUGUAUGGACAGAAGCAGGUGCGUAAGCUCCUGUGGACCGUAUAGGAAUGAAAAUUUUGGCAGUAGUAGAAGCAAAGAAUGGUGAGAAUCCAUUCCGCCGAAGGGGCUAGGUUUCCUCAGCAAUGUUCGUCAGCUGAGGGUUAGUCGGUCCUAAGUUAUACCAUAACUUGAGUAUGACAAAAGGGAAACAGGUUAAUAUUCCUGUACUCUUCACAAUAAUCUGACGCAUCGGGUUAUGCAAAUCGGAACCGUCGUUCCGUCCAAUCGUAUAAGCUCUCGGAGUACCGUAAUGGUGAGAACUGAGUGAAAGCGUGAUGGCGUAAGCUUGCAAACACCUGGUGCCCGUGAAAAGGUCGUGAAAGAACCGUACCGAGAACCGACACAGGUGCCCCUAGUUGAAAAGACUCAGGCGUUUCGGAAUUAUUUGUGGUAAGGGAACUCGGCAAAAUGGCUCCGUACCUUUGGAAUAAGGAGUGCCUGCCUAGGGAUUAGGCAGGUCGCAGUGACCAGGGAGCUCCAACUGUCUAACAACAACAUAGCAGACUGCAACUCUGUAAAGACUAGUAUAGUCUGUGAAUCCUGCCC
rnacentral:rRNA from 1 species